rnacentral:rRNA from 1 species
AUUGAACGCUGGCGGCAGGCCUAACACAUGCAAGUCGAACGGUAACAGGAAACAGCUUGCUGUUUCGCUGACGAGUGGCGGACGGGUGAGUAAUGUCUGGGAAACUGCCUGAUGGAGGGGGAUAACUACUGGAAACGGUAGCUAAUACCGCAUAACGUCGCAAGACCAAAGAGGGGGACCUUCGGGCCUCUUGCCAUCGGAUGUGCCCAGAUGGGAUUAGCUAGUAGGUGGGGUAACGGCUCACCUAGGCGACGAUCCCUAGCUGGUCUGAGAGGAUGACCAGACACACUGGAACUGAGACACGGUCCAGACUCCUACGGGAGGCAGCAGUGGGGAAUAUUGCACAAUGGGCGCAAGCCUGAUGCAGCCAUGCCGCGUGUAUGAAGAAGGCCUUCGGGUUGUAAAGUACUUUCAGCGGGGAGGAAGGGAGUAAAGUUAAUACCUUUGCUCAUUGACGUUACCCGCAGAAGAAGCACCGGCUAACUCCGUG